AUUGAACGCUGGCGGCAUGCCUUACACAUGCAAGUCGAACGGCAGCACGGGAGCAAUCCUGGUGGCGAGUGGCGAACGGGUGAGUAAUACAUCGGAACGUGCCCAGUAGUGGGGGAUAGCCCGGCGAAAGCCGGAUUAAUACCGCAUACGACCUGAGGGUGAAAGCGGGGGAUCGCAAGACCUCGCGCUAUUGGAGCGGCCGAUGUCGGAUUAGCUAGUUGGUGGGGUAAAGGCUCACCAAGGCAACGAUCCGUAGCUGGUCUGAGAGGACGACCAGCCACACUGGGACUGAGACACGGCCCAGACUCCUACGGGAGGCAGCAGUGGGGAAUUUUGGACAAUGGGCGCAAGCCUGAUCCAGCCAUGCCGCGUGCGGGAAGAAGGCCUUCGGGUUGUAAACCGCUUUUGUCAGGGAAGAAACGCUCUGGGCUAAUACCCCGGGGUAAUGACGGUACCUGAAGAAUAAGCACCGGCUAACUACGUGCCAGCAGCCGCCGUAAGAC
rnacentral:rRNA from 1 species